AAGUCGUAACAAGGUUUCCGUAGGUGAACCUGCGGAAGGAUCAUUAACACGUAUCCAACGUUAAACAACCCUGUGAACUUUCAACCCCGCCGGAAUGAGAUUAAUUUCCAACUUCCGGCGAAGACAAGUGACCUGGCACCUGACCUCAUCAAAGCUCUGACAGCGUGCCGCUUUAUGGAAGGGUGACGCAGUAAAACGAUCGCUGGAGGCCCACACGGCCGGCGACCGGGUCAGCGGCAUUCUUUAAUGCCCCUUAAAACCACUUAACAUGACGACAGUUCCUCUUUAUGAGUUGAGCUAUAACAAAAAACUAAUACAACUGUUAACAACGGAUAUCUUGGUUCUC
rnacentral:misc_RNA from 1 species